rfam:Trichobilharzia regenti genome assembly, scaffold: TRE_contig0009755
CUGGUUGAUCCUUCCGUUAGUCAUAUGCUUAUCUCAGAGAUUAAGCCAUGCAUUUAUAAGUACAUAAAUUAAAACGAUGAAACCGCGAAUGGCUCAUUGAAUCAGCUAUGGUUCCUUAGAUCUUAUAUACUACAUGGAUAACUGUAGUAAUUCUAGAGCUAAUAUAUGCAAUUAUGCCCUGAUCCGCAGGGGAACGUGUGCAUUUAUUAGAACAGAAGUAACCGGGGGCAGUUUCAGCUGUUUCCUGUUGAAUUCUGUGAUGACUCUGGAUAACUUUAAUAAUCGCAAAUCGGUCUUGUGUCGGCGACGGAUCUUUCAAAUAACGAAGUCACCGUCAACUAGGCUGUACAUUUAUGAUUCCACGUUAAUUUAUUUAUUAGGUGUAUCACACAGUGUGAAACAGUAUUAUUGUUUACU